GUCUUACAGCCAUUAGCUGUGGUUCAGUAGUGGAGGCGGCAGGUCUGCACAUUGCUCUUCAGAGCCCCUGUGCCUAGUAGGGAACCAGCAGGCUGCACUGGAAGAUGUUGGGGUCCCAGUGAGUGUCGGGGGUCAGAGGAGAGGAGAAGGAAGAUCUAUGCUUCAUUCUGCAGGGGUGCAGAUGGCUGGGCUCUGUUCCAGGAGGUGGUGAAUUGGUGGGCGGUUUCUCUCCCUUCCUUAAUUUCCCCAACGUCACUAGAAGGGAGGUGCCUGGGCAGCCUGUGCCCAUGUGUAGCCCGAUCCUGCCAUGUGCAGUCCAGGAGCUCCGACCUGCUGACGCGCCGACAAGCCAGGCUUGUGUCUCUCUGCCGGAGUGAUGGAGCCCUCUGACAGCCCUGCUAUCUGUUUGAAAACAGGGAUUAAAACCCAAAAUUCUGAUGAAAGCACUUCAGCUGCUCUGCCCUGGAGGAAUCGUAGCUGUGUAGGUACACUGAGCUGUACGGAUUCUCCCUGCCUUGUGCUGCAGUCCGGGUGGAUCUCAGUCAGGAUCAGCGCAGGCUGUGGACACGAGCAGAGGGACACCGAGGGUUUUGUACUGGCUAUCCCAGGGAACAGUGUCACACCCUCACCAGGUCUCCUUAGGAAAGUGACCAGACAGGCAACGAAGUUUGUUUGGACUGUCAAUUCAUUGUGUUUUUACUAAUCAACAAGGAAAAAAUCAGCUUUGACUUUUUGAAGGUUUCAAACUUUGAUUUUAUUAUGGCCUAUUUUUUC
rnacentral:lncRNA from 1 species